ACUAAUUGGGCCGAUUUGUUCGAGCAAAGACCUCAGAUUUAAUCCCGAUCGAGAACAUGCCAUUUCCCUAGAAAUGGAACAUGAAACGUAAGUAUAACCUUGCCUUUAAGAUUUCAUUUAUUGAAUUUUCUUUUCCUCCCUUCUUAUCGGUAUUUUGAGGUGCAAUUGUUGCUCGAAUGCCGGAUGCAGUCCUUCAACGCAAGGAGUGGGUAAAGAGCAUCGUGUCACAAAAACCUAUAACGAGCGCGUGUGGCACAAACUUUCA
rnacentral:lncRNA from 1 species